rnacentral:rRNA from 1 species
UACGGAGGGUGCGAGCGUUGUCCGGAAUCACUGGGCGUAAAGGGCGCGUAGGCGGCCAACUAAGUUACAGACGUGAAAUCCCUCGGCUUAACCGGGGAACUGCGUCUGAUACUGGAUGGCUUGAGUUUGGGAGAGGGACGCGGAAUUCCAGGUGUAGCGGUGAAAUGCGUAGAUAUCAGGAGGAACACCGGUGGCGAAGGCGGCUCUCUGGACCACAACUGACGCUGAGGCGCGAAAGCUAGGGGAGCAAACAGG